AAGGUAGCUAACUGACUGGAUGCCCAUUAACUUUAUAACCUCUGGUGUGUGUGUGUGUGUGUGUGUGUGUGUAUUUUGCACAGAAAGACAGCCAGGUUCAUAAUGGAUAUAAGGAAGUUUUUUCAAAAAAAGGACGGGCAUUCAGGUAAAAGUAGAAGAUCAUGAUCUGUCAAUCAAGAAUAAUGUUGGAUCAGUGUUUAAAUAGUCAUAUAUUUUAUUAAAUGUACACGUGGUUUGGUUAUUUGCCUUUUGAUUGAAAGUACACUGAGAGAAGAGUUUUUUUUUAUUAGUGAUGUUAAUAGUAUUUUUUUUAUAUUAAUUAGUGGUGGGCAUAGAUUAAUUUUUUAAUCUAGAUUAAUCUCACUGUAACCUGGCUGUGAUGUCAGUUGAGAAAGAGAUGCUUGAGAGAGUUGACCACCAAAAAGUGAUAGACAGAUUUGCCAGCCACAAGGUGAGGCGACAUAGGUUAAAAUAAAAAAACAAAUCUGCAGAGUCAUAGUAGUAUCUGCAGUAAAGAUCUUUUCAUACAUUGCAUACAUUGUACCAUAGGCACAGUUGCCGCCAUCUUUAUAAUUUUUUUUAUUAAUAUUUUGUACAUUUGUGUAUUUCACAGACUGUUCUAUUUUUUGAGGGUAUUUUUUAUGUAUCUGUAUUAUAUUAUACAUACACAUUAAAAGUGAAUCCCUGUCCAAAAAAUGCACUCCGUUUACUUUUUACUCACUAUUAGCAUCAUUCAUUACUCUCCUCCAGUAAUUAAGAUUAGGAUAUGUAUUUUUUUUAUUCCAAUCCAUUCUUCUUUUGCAGUAGUGGUCUUUUGCAGCAUUUAAAAAAAACCUUUAUCAAAUUUGAUUCCAAAAAGUGUUUUGCUUUUCUUACACAAAUGUUGGAAUUAAAAUGUUAAAAUGUACAAAACAGUCAUGUCAUGUUUUUUGACAAGGACCCAGGCACAGAGAAACUCUUAGGAUUUAAUAAAGAAAUUUGCAGACUUGCACAGAGAUGGUAAAAUGAUGACUGAUGACGGAGACGAAGACAACAGACGAAAAGGACAGGGAGGAACAGGGGUUUAAAUGCACAAAGGAGACAGUCAGAUAGAACUCGGGACAACUGGAGACAUUUAAGGAUGCGGGGACUGAAAGAGGCAGGGAAAAAGUCUCAUUGUGACGAGUAAAGUGUAUCUUGCCUUGCUGGGCAGCUCUCUGGGUGCUCAGCACCCCCAAAGCUCUGAACCUAGAAUCGCCCCUGAUUUCCAGCAAGGCCUGCUUCGGAUGCAUCUCACAAACUUUUGGUUUAUUUCCUUCAAGUACACCCACUGUUUUUCCUAGGUUUAUGAUAAGGCUAUGUGUUGCAUUGUUUGCUCUUCCGUACCUGUGAAACAUUGUUUUGCUGAAAGGUUUUGAUAGCGGGUGUACAGUAAUAUCUGCCCGUUGCGGCUGUUGGGGGGAGGGGUGAUCUUAUCCUCAGUUUGCAUGGUGGCCACCGGUAUUUUGCAUGUCGAGCUAAUUGCGUUACGGUAAUAUUUUAGGAUCAUGAGUGUGUCUCCGUGUGAUAUUGCAUGCGUGUGGUUUUUGUGUUGAUAAUGGGGGGUUUGGGGCUGGAUUAACCCAGGUUUGAAGUUGGAGUGGAGUACGUGGCAACGCCGAGGAUUGGGUUACCACUCUGGACAUUGCAGGGGAAAAAGUGAAAUGGAGAAAAAAAUACAUAGAUGGGCUAAGUAAGCAGUAGGAGCAAGGAGCAGAAGACAAAAUAGGAAAGAAGGGAGAAGAAAACAAAGAUAGAGGCGAGAAGACAGAUGAGGAGAGAAAAGAAGUGGAAAGCAACAAAUUUAAAGGAGGAAGAGGCUAUGAAUACGUUACUUAUAGCCCACCAAAGGCUUUUCAACCCCAAGGAGGCAAGCGGCCUGUAAAAAAAAAAAAGUUUUUUUCGUUGUAAUUCAUUUAUUCAUAAUAAACAAUAUUUUAUCAUA